UCACCUGUGUCACCUCUGUGUGUUGUGUGUCACCUGUGUCACCUGUGUGUGCGUGACCUGUGUCACCUGUGUCACCUGUGUCACCUCUGUGUGUGUCACCUGUGUCACCUGUGUGUGUCACCUGUGUCACACCUGUGUCACCUGUGUGUGUCACCUGUGUGUGUCACACCUGUGUCACCUGUGUGUGUCACCUGUGUCACCUGUGUCACCUGUGUCACCUCUGUGUGUUGUGUGUCACCUGUGUCACCUGUGUGUGUCACCUGUGUCACCUGUGUGUGCGUGACCUGUGUCACCUGUGCUGUGUCCCCACUGAUCUCCCCAAUGUCCCCGAUGUCCUCAGGUGCUCUGUGCAGUGACAGCAGCGGUGUUACACCUGUGUUACCUGUCACACCUGUCACACCUGUCACACCUGUGUUACCUGUGUGUGUCACCUGUGUCACCUGUGUGUGUCACACCUGUCACACCUGUGUGUGUCACACCUGUCACACCUGUGUGUCCCCAGGUGCUGUGUGCGGUCACAGCCGCUGUUCUCCACCUGUGUUACCUGUCAGCGUUCUCCUGGAUGGCCCUGCAGGGGUUACACCUGUGUCACACCUGUCACACCUGUGUGUCCCCAGGUGCUCUGUGCAGUGACAGCAGCAGUGUUACACCUGUGUUACCUGUCUGCGUUCUCCUGGAUGGCCCUGCAGGGGCUCCACCUGUACGUGUUGCUGGUCCAGGUGUUCGUCCCCACCUGGCUCCGCCCGCGGCUGCUGCUGGCCCUGGGCUACGGCCCCCCCGCCCUGCUGGUGGCCCUGGCGGCCGCCGCCUUCCCCGGGGGCUACGGCACCGAUCAAUAUUGCUGGCUGUCCCUGGAGCGCGGCUUCCGCUGGAGCUUCCAGGGCCCCGUCAUCGUCAUCACCGCGGUGAGAGAGCCUGGGGACACCUGGGGACACCUGGGGACACACCUGGGGACACACCUGGGGACAGCUGGGGACACCUGGGGACACCUGGGACACACCUGGGGACAGCUGGGGACACCUGGGGGGACACCUGGGGACACCUGGGGACACCUGGGACACACCUGGGGAUACCUGGGGACACCUGAGACACACCUGGGGACACCUGGGACACACCUGGGGACACCUGGGGACACCUGGGGACACCUGGGAC
rnacentral:lncRNA from 1 species